rnacentral:lncRNA from 1 species
CAGACUAUUUGCAGGACACUACAGCUAUGCCUCACAGACAGCACAGAGGUUGAAUACAAAGUCUUGAACAUAACAGGUUGGGCUUUCAGUAGCAGAAGACCUUCUCAGACCUCCUGGGACUCCAGGUUCAUAAAGGUAGAAGAUGAAGUCCAAAGUGUAGUUGUCAAUGCUGUGCAAGAGUUGAGUACUGAAAAGGUGAGAGAUGUAAUUUUUUUCCCUUCUGUUUUUGCAGAAUAGUAUGUAACAAAUUAUUUGUUUGUUUA